rnacentral:rRNA from 1 species
GAUCAUUACUGAGUGAGGGCCCUCUGGGUCCAACCUCCCACCCGUGUUUAUUGUACCUUGUUGCUUCGGUGCGCCCGCCUCACGGCCGCCGGGGGGCUUCUGCCCCCGGGUCCGCGCGCACCGGAGACACUAUUGAACUCUGUCUGAAGAUUGCAGUCUGAGCAUAAACUAAAUAAGUUAAAACUUUCAACAACGGAUCUCUUGGUUCCGGCAUCGAUGAAGAACGCAGCGAAAUGCGAUAACUAAUGUGAAUUGCAGAAUUCAGUGAAUCAUCGAGUCUUUGAACGCACAUUGCGCCCCCUGGUAUUCCGGGGGGCAUGCCUGUCCGAGCGUCAUUGCUGCCCUCAAGCACGGCUUGUGUGUUGGGCUCCGUCCCCCCGGGGACGGGUCCGAAAGGCAGCGGCGGCACCGAGUCCGGUCCUCGAGCGUAUGGGGCUUUGUCACCCGCUCUGUAGGCCCGGCCGGCGCCAGCCGACAACCAAUCAUCCUUUUUUCAGGUUGACCUCGGAUGAGGUAGGGAUACCCGCUGAACUUAAGCAUAUCAAUAAGCGGGAGGA